UACGAAGGGUGCAAACGUUGCUCGGAAUUAUUGGGCGUAAAGCGCACGUAGGCGGCUUAGCAAGUUGGAUGUGAGAGCCCUCGGCUUAACCAGGGAAGUGCAUCCAAAACUGCUGAGCUUGAGUAGUUAAGAGGAUCGCGGAAUUCCCGGUGUAGAGGUGAAAUUCGUAGAUAUCGGGAGGAACACCAGUGGCGAAGGCGGCGAUCUGGGAACAUACUGACGCUGAGGUGCGAAAGCGUGGGGAGCAAACAGG
rnacentral:rRNA from 1 species